GGUCUCUACAGAACCGUGCUUUACUGAAGUAAAACCUUUUCUUGGCAGAUCAAUUUCAUUUCUCAAAUAUGGGAGAGUUAGCGGCGGAGAAGCAUGCCAAUUACAUUGUAUCAGUGGAAAAG